rnacentral:rRNA from 1 species
AGACGGGACCCCGCACAAGCGGUGGAUCAUGUUGUUUAAUUCGAUGAUACGCGAAGAACCUUACCAGGUCUUGACAUCCCUUGCAAAGCUAUGGAGACAUAGUGGAGGUUAUCAAGGAGACAGGUGGUGCAUGGUUGUCGUCAGCUCGUGUCGUGAGAUGUUGGGUUAAGUCCCGCAACGAGCGCAACCCUUAUUGCUAGUUACCAUCAUUCAGUUGGGGACUCUAGCGAGACUGCCAGUGAUAAACUGGAGGAAGGUGGGGGAUGACGUCAAAUCAUCAUGCCCCUUAUGACCUGGGCUACAAACGUGAUACAAUGGCUGAAACAAAGGGCAGCGAAGCAGUGAUGUGGAGCGAAACCCAAAAAAGCAGUCUCAGUUCGGAUUGAAGUCUGCAACUCGACUUCAUGAAGUCGGAAUCGCUAGUAAUCGCGGAUCAGAACGCCGCGGUGAAUACGUUCUCGGGUUU